rnacentral:rRNA from 1 species
GAUGAACGCUGGCGGCGUGCCUAAUACAUGCAAGUCGAGCGAACAGACGAGGAGCUUGCUCCUCUGACGUUAGCGGCGGACGGGUGAGUAACACGUGGAUAACCUACCUAUAAGACUGGGAUAACUUCGGGAAACCGGAGCUAAUACCGGAUAAUAUAUUGAACCGCAUGGUUCAAUAGUGAAAGACGGUUUUGCUGUCACUUAUAGAUGGAUCCGCGCCGCAUUAGCUAGUUGGUAAGGUAACGGCUUACCAAGGCAACGAUGCGUAGCCGACCUGAGAGGGUGGUCGGCCCCAGUGGAACUGAGACACGGCACAGGCUCCUACGGGCGGCAGAGGCUGGGAAUGUUCCCAGAUGGGGGGAAGCCGGCGGAAGGACCGGAGGGUUGGUGAAGAAGCUCCUCGGGUGGAAAAACUCUUUUAUUGGGGAAAAAAAAAUGUGUAAGUAACUAAGCACGUUGGAACGGAAUCUAAAAAGAAGCCCCCGCUAACCAACU